rnacentral:rRNA from 1 species
ACCUGGUUGAUCCUGCCAGUAACAUAUGCUUGUUUUAAAGAUUAAGCCAUGCAUGUCUAAGUAUAAGCGAUUUUUAUGGCGAGACUGCGAAUGGCUCAUUAAAUCAGCAACAAUCUAUUUGAUUAAAUCGAAAGAAUAAAUGGAUAACUGCAGUAAUUCUGGAGCUAAUACAUGCAUACUUAAAUGUACAAAAAACUCGACUUUUCGGAAGAGUUGUUCUUACUUGCAGCAAAACCAACAUAGGGGGGUUUUUCUCCUUAUAAAACUUAAAGAUGAUUCAUUGUAAUAUAGCGGAUUGUAUGACCUAGAGUCGACAACGAAUCAUUCGAAUUUCUGACCUAUCAACUGUGGAUGUUAGUAUAGAGAACUAACAUGGUUUUAACGGGUAACAGAGAAUUAGGGUUUGGUUCUGGAGAUGGUGCCUGAGAGAUGGCAACAACUUCCAAGGAAGGCAGCAGGCGCGCAAUUUACCCAAUUUUAAAACAGAGAGGUAGUGACGAAACAUAACAAUGCCAGGUUAUAAUUUAACUUGGUAAUUGGAAUGAGAAAAAUUUAAAUACCUUAACGAGGAACAAUUAGAGGGCCAGUCUGGUGCCAGCAGCCGCGGUAAUUCCAGCUCUAAUAGCGUAUAUUAAAUUUGCUGCAGUUAAAAAGCUCGUAGUCGAAUUUUGAAACUCGAUUAAGUUGGUCCGUCGGGAGAUGUGUACUGCUUUUUCGAUUCUCUCAACUUUUUAGAUGUGGUUAGCUGAUCUUAACUGAUUGGUUAAUGGCUCUAAAUCGUUUACUGUGAACAAAUUGGAGUGUUUAAAGCAAGCGUUUUUGCUCUGUACAAUUCAGCAUGGGAUAAUAAAAUAAGACUUGAUUCUUGUUUUGUUGGUAUUUGAAGAAUUGAGUAAUGGUUAAAGGGGGUUGCCGGGGCUGUUAGUAUUUGAUGGUCAGAGGUGAAAUUCUUGGAUUCAUCAAAGACUUGCAUCAGCGAAAGCAUUCAGCAAGAAUAUCCCCAUUGAUCAAGAACGAAAGU